rnacentral:rRNA from 1 species
GACGAACGCUGGCGGCGUGCCUAAUACAUGCAAGUCGAACGAGAGCGACCGGUGCUUGCACUGGUCAAUCUAGUGGCGAACGGGUGAGUAACACGUGGGUAACCUGCCCAUCAGAGGGGGAUAACAUUCGGAAACGGAUGCUAAAACCGCAUAGGUCCUUUAACCGCAUGGUUGAAGGAGGAAAAGAGGCGCAAGCUUCUGCUGAUGGAUGGACCCGCGGUGCAUUAGCUAGUUGGUGAGGUAACGGCUCACCAAGGCCGUGAUGCAUAGCCGACCUGAGAGGGUGAUCGGCCACAUUGGGACUGAGACACGGCCCAAACUCCUACGGGAGGCAGCAGUAGGGAAUCUUCCGCAAUGGACGCAAGUCUGACGGAGCAACGCCGCGUGAGUGAAGAAGGUUUUCGGAUCGUAAAACUCUGUUGUUAGAGAAGAACAAGUGCUAGAGUAACUGUUAGCGCCUUGACGGUAUCUAACCAGAAAGCCAC